rnacentral:sRNA from 1 species
AGACUUGUGCAGGGCGACCUCCAGGCC